rnacentral:misc_RNA from 1 species
CUACUCUCUCCCUCUACUUCUCUAUUCUUUUAGGGUUUUUUUAUUUCUGCUCAAGAGUUUUCAACAAUGUCCGCCGGAGAGAUCGCCUGCACUUGCGCUACUUUGAUCCUCCACGAUGAUGGAAUCGCCGUCACUGCUGAGAAGAUAGCUACAUUGGUGAAGACGGCCAACGUAGCGGUGGAAGCGUACUGGCCUAGUCUAUUUGCCAAGUUGGCGGAGAAGAGGAACCUUGACGAUCUUAUGAUGAACAUUGGUUCUAGUGGCGCUGCUGCUCCUUCUACCAUUGCUGCUCCUGCUGCCGGUGCUGGUGGUGCCACUGCCACUGCUCCUGCUGUUGAGGAGAAGAAGGAGGAGCCGAAAGAAGAGAGUGAUGAGGAUAUGGGAUUCAGCUUGUUCGAUUAGGUGCUUUCACUUAUCAUAAUUAUUCAAUUUUGCCUUGCAAUUUGAGAACUAAUCCAAUUGGGUUGUAUUUGGGAAAUUACUUUUUUAGAACUAAUUCAAGGAGUUAAAUUUUCGAUUCAAAAAAAGUAAUUUCCCAAAUACAACCCAA